rnacentral:rRNA from 1 species
GUGUCAGCAGCCGCGGUAAUACAGAGGUGCCAAGCGUUGUUCGGAUUUAUUGGGCGUAAAGGGUGCGUAGGCGGUUAUGUAAGUCGGGUGUGAAAUUUCGGAGCCUAACUCCGAAACUGCAUUCGAAACUGCAUAGCUCGAGGUCUGGAGAGGUAAUUGGAAUUCUAGGUGUAGCAGUGAAAUGCGUAGAUAUCUAGAGGAACACCAGAGGCGAAAGCGAAUUACUGGACAGAACCUGACGCUGAGGCACGAAAGCUAGGGGAGCAAACGGGAUUAGAAACCCCAGUAGUCC